rnacentral:rRNA from 1 species
GAUGAACGCUGGCGGCGUGCCUAAUACAUGCAAGUCGAGCGAACAGACGAGGAGCUUGCUCCUCUGACGUUAGCGGCGGACGGGCGAGUAACACGUGGAUAACCUACCUAUAAGACUGGGAUAACUUCGGGAAACCGGAGCUAAUACCGGAUAAUAUAUUGAACCGCAUGGUUCAAUAGUGAAAGACGGUUUUGCUGUCACUUAUAGAUGGAUCCGCGCCGCAUUAGCUAGUUAGUAAGGUAACGGCUUACCAAGGCAACGAUGCGUAGCCGACCUGAGAGGGUGAUCGGCCACACUGGAACUGAGACACGGUCCAGACUCCUACGGGAGGCAGCAGUAGGGAAUCUUCCGCAAUGGGCGAAAGCCUGACGGAGCAACGCCGCGUGAGUGAUGAAGGUCUUCGGAUCGUAAAACUCUGUUAUUAGGGAAGAACAAGUGUGUAAGUAACUAUGCACGUCUUGACGGUACCUAAUCAGAAAGCCACGGCUAACUACGUG